rnacentral:tRNA from 1 species
GCCUGGCUGGCUCAGUUGGUAGAGCAUGCAACUCUUAAUCUCAGAGUUGUGAGUUCGAGUCCCAAGUUGGGUG